CAUGCAAGUUCGAACGCUUUGUGGUUCCAACUGAUUUGAAGAAGCUUGCUCAGAUAUGACGAUGGACAUUGCAAAGAGUGGCGAACGGGUGAGUAACACGUGGGAAACCUACCUCUUAGCAGGGGAUAACAUUUGGAAACAGAUGCUAAUACCGUAUAACAAUGACAACCGCAUGGUUGUUAUUUAAAAGAUGGUUCUGCUAUCACUAAGAGAUGGUCCCGCGGUGCAUUAGCUAGUUGGUAAGGUAAUGGCUUACCAAGGCGAUGAUGCAUAGCCGAGUUGAGAGACUGAUCGGCCACAAUGGGACUGAGACACGGCCCAUACUCCUACGGGAGGCAGCAGUAGGGAAUCUUCCACAAUGGGCGAAAGCCUGAUGGAGCAACGCCGCGUGUGUGAUGAAGGGUUUCGGCUCGUAAAACACUGUUGUAAGAGAAGAAUGACAUUGAGAGUAACUGUUCAAUGUGUGACGGUAUCUUACCAGAAAGGAACGGCUAAAUACGUGCCAGCAGCCGCGGUAAUACGUAUGUUCCAAGCGUUAUCCGGAUUUAUUGGGCGUAAAGCGAGCGCAGACGGUUAUUUAAGUCUGAAGUGAAAGCCCUCAGCUCAACUGAGGAAUUGCUUUGGAAACUGGAUGACUUGAGUGCAGUAGAGGAAAGUGGAACUCCAUGUGUAGCGGUGAAAUGCGUAGAUAUAUGGAAGAACACCAGUGGCGAAGGCGGCUUUCUGGACUGUAACUGACGUUGAGGCUCGAAAGUGUGGGUAGCAAACAGGAUUAGAUACCCUGGUAGUCCACACCGUAAACGAUGAGUGCUAGGUGUUUGAGGGUUUCCGCCCUUAAGUGCCGCAGCUAACGCAUUAAGCACUCCGCCUGGGGAGUACGACCGCAAGGUUGAAACUCAAAGGAAUUGACGGGGACCCGCACAAGCGGUGGAGCAUGUGGUUUAAUUCGAAGCAACGCGAAGAACCUUACCAGGUCUUGACAUCCCUUGACAACUCCAGAGAUGGAGUGUUCCCUUCGGGGACAAGGUGACAGGUGGUGCAUGGUUGUCGUCAGCUCGUGUCGUGAGAUGUUGGGUUAAGUCCCGCAACGAGCGCAACCCUUAUUACUAGUUGCCAGCAUUCAGUUGGGCACUCUAGUGAGACUGCCGGUGACAAACCGGAGGAAGGUGGGGAUGACGUCAAAUCAUCAUGCCCCUUAUGACCUGGGCUACACACGUGCUACAAUGGCGUAUACAACGAGUUGCCAACCCGCGAGGGUGAGCUAAUCUCUUAAAGUACGUCUCAGUUCGGAUUGUAGGCUGCAACUCGCCUACAUGAAGUCGGAAUCGCUAGUAAUCGCGGAUCAGCACGCCGCGGUGAAUACGUUCCCGGGUCUUGUACACACCGCCCGUCACACCAUGAGAGUUUGUAACACCCAAAGCCGGUGGGGUAACCUUCGGGAGCCAGCCGUC
rnacentral:rRNA from 1 species